GGUGUGGGUCUCAUUCCACGAGAUCCGUGCCGCAGCUAACGCAUUAAGUUCCCCGCCUGGGGAGUACGGCCGCAAGGCUAAAACUCAAAGGAAUUGACGGGGGCCCGCACAAGCGGCGGAGCAUGCGGAUUAAUUCGAUGCAACGCGAAGAACCUUACCAAGGCUUGACAUAUGCGAGAACGCGGCAGAGAUGUCGUUCUCUUUGGACACUCGCAUACAGGUGGUGCAUGGUUGUCGUCAGCUCGUGUCGUGAGAUGUUGGGUUAAGUCCCGCAACGAGCGCAACCCUCGUUCUAUGUUGCCAGCACGUGAUGGUGGGGACUCAUAGGAGACUGCCGGGGUCAACUCGGAGGAAGGUGGGGAUGACGUCAAAUCAUCAUGCCCCUUAUGUCUUGGGCUUCACGCAUGCUACAAUGGCCGGUACAAAGGGCUGCGAUACCGCGAGGUGGAGCGAAUCCCAAAAAACCGGUCUCAGUUCGGAUUGGGGUCUGCAACUCGACCCCAUGAAGUC
rnacentral:rRNA from 1 species